rnacentral:lncRNA from 1 species
GUCUUCUUUAACCAUCAAGCAUUCUCUUGCCAAUGGCGAUUAUUUCCAAGUAAUUGGAAAAGAAACUGUAUAAUAUUAUUGUAAUUCUUUCUAUCUGUAUCGUUUAAAAAUGUAUAUUGUAUUUAAUGAUUUCAUUGUAUUUGAUUUAGAACAUUGGAACUUGUAUCGUUUGAAUGAUAUAACUCAAUAUUGUUAUAUCUGUAUUAACCGCAUGUAUGAUUUGUCUUUGCAGAAAUGACCGAAAGUAAAAUGGAAGAAUUGCCUGUAAACGAAUGUGAUUCGAUAGAAGGAACGAUACUGACCCAUACAAGAUUGAUAGUUGAAAAGAUCUUAAAUUAUUUAGAUAAUUCUAAUUUAUUGAAGUGUAAAUAUGUGUGCAGGCUUUGGAAUGAAAUUGCAAAAAAGAUUUUAAGCAAAAGAAUAAUUAUCAUAAAUAGGGACAUACCAUACUUUUCAACGAGAAUGGCAAUCGUAGACCCAGAUAACGUGCCACAGUU